GUGUGCUGACAACGGGGGGCCUGCUUGGGAUUCUCUCUCUCCGCCCCUCGCCCCCUCAAAAUAAAUAAAUAUUUUUUUAAAAUCUCAUAUCCCAGCCAUGGGCUUGGGACAAACCUCGGGGCCUCAGACACCUGGCCUCAGUGUUGCAGGACACUGGGCACGAGGGGGAGGGGCAGCCGCGGCCUGCAGAGAGGGCCGAAGCGGCCACCACGCCUGGGUCCCGUGGCCUGGGGCAGCCACUGCCGAGGCCUGUGGGUGCCCGGGGAAGCCUGAGUCUCAUCGUCAGAGGUGUAGCGUGCGUGCUUGUGAGGGGGCAGGGCCCAGCUGCGGGGUCCCUGGACUCACAUCUCGGAAGCCACGCUGCAGGGCACUGCUCGGGCGGAGCAGGGCCGAGACCCUGGGAGCCCUGAUCCCUCCUGCCGGGAGGGACCUGCUCCUGGGCCAGAGGAAGGACGGGCGAGGGCGUUGGGGCCAGAGGCUUAGGCCAGCUCUUCCCAGACUGGCCUGAGCUAGUGCACGAGCUGCUGCUGACGUGAACCCAAAGUCCCCCGGGCCAGUCAUUGCCUUCCCAGAAUCCUCGGCCGAGGAAGCAGGCGGAGGCGGGUGCUCAGCGAUCCGCGAGCAAAGCGCCCCUCGACGCUCGUGGGCAGCGCAGAAAAGCAGCUGCGUCUGUGUGCUGAGCGAUAGGGAGCACGGCACUUCCGUGUAACAAGAUUGGGUAAACAUUAAAAUAUUAAGAUAUGUCAAUUAUCAGAAUGCCCACAGAACAUUCGGUGACAAAGCCCGUGGAUACUCUGAGGUGUCUAUUGUAUGCCACGCGGCAUCUUAGGCUGCGGACAGGCACGUGCCCCUUUCGCGGGACGUGUCCCCUCGGACAAGCGUCAUCCAGGACAAAAGACCUUUGGUCGGUCCAGAAUGGGUCGGGGACCUGGAGCCGUCCCCAGCCAGGCAUCGAGUGUCAGGGAACAUUGGAGGACAAGAGAGAGCACUUUGGAGGUGGCUUUGGACGCAGGUGGGAGAGGAGCCAGAGAGAAGGGACCGUGCAGCGAAGGGGCUCCAGCAAGAACCCCGGGGGAGCUCCUGACUCCUCGUUGCCCUGGUCAGUUCUUGGUCAGCGAACGGAAGGCAAAGCAUGACCCUGACUGACCUCACUCCCCACAGGUGUGCCAGGGCCUCUGGGCCAAAGCAGAUGGGCCUGGGGACCAGCCCAGUGUGAAGGCGGUGGCAGCGGGGAAGGUGCCCUGAUUUCUGGCCUGUAUGGCAGAAUGGGGGAGUCCCCGUGGUUAAAAUGCGCAAGGUCGAGGAUGGGACUUAGACGGGACAGAGGUCGGGAAGACGUCGGGGAGCCCGAACGACCGCUGCCCCAGGGAGGCCGGGCCCCAAUCCCAACAACCCGCGAUCUUACCCCGUCGGGAAGAAUGUGCACGUGUGGCUAAGGAGAGAGGCCGAGGGAGCCUUGAUUCAGACAGAAGACAGGCAGAGAUGGGAGCGGAAGGAGCCAGCAGCCUCCGGGAGCUGGAAGACGCAAGGGGCAGGUCAUUUCCCGCAGCUUCCAGAGGGGCGGCCUCGCGGAUACUGUGACCUCAGCCCAGUGACGCUGAUUUUGGAUUCUGGCCUCCAGGUUUUUCCACGAUUGAGCUUGUUGUGGAUUCACGGGCAGCUGUGAGAAGUAACACGGUCUCCCCCAACGGCAGCAUCUCACACAGCGCCACUGGCGGGGGCUCCCCAGCGACGGAGCUUGGGCACAGAGCGUUCCCACCACCGAGAGUCUCCCACCUGCCGUCCUGUGCCGCCACAGUGCUCUCCCGCCUCCACCCCACCCUGACCCUGGGGACCACGAACGUGGUACCUGUUUCUAUAGCUUUGUCAUUUUGAGAAUGCCAUACAAACGGAAUCCUCUGGUGUGUAAACUUGUGUUGUUGUUGUUGUUGUUGUUUUUUCACUUAGCAGAAUGUUCUGGAAGUCCAUCCAGGAUGUUGCAUGUAUGGACAGUCCCUUCCAUUCCACUGCUAAGCAGCGUCCGUGUGUGGAUGGGCUCCAGCUGGUCUGAGCACCUGCCCGUUGAAGGACAUCUGGGCUGUUUCCUAUUUGGGGUUAUUAUGAAUAAAGCUGCCAUAAACAUUUGUGUACAGGUUUUUGCAUGAAUGCAAGUUUCUGUUCUCUGAGAUAAUGCCCAGGGGUGCAACUGCCAGGCUGUUUAGUGCUGCGUGUUUAGUUUUUAAAGAAACCGCCAAACCGUUUUCCAAAGUGGCUGCACCAUUUUGUAUUCCUGCCAGCCCCACCUGAGGGAUCCAGCGUCCCCCUAUCUGCAUCGGCAUUUGGUGGCGUCACUAUUUUUCAUUGUAGCCAUUUCGAUGGGAGUGUAAUGGGGUCUCAUUGCGAUUUUAAUCUGUGCUUCUUCAACGAAUAAGUAUGUUUUUGUCUUUUAUGUGAUUAAUUGCCAGCUGUAAACGCUCAGCUGACAUGUUUCUUCGUGUUGUCAGUCAUCCCCUAAUUAGAUAUUUGUGUUCUUACUGUUGAGUUUGAGAGUUCUUUAUGUAGCCUAGUUACUAGUCCUCUGUCAGAUUUUCAAUUUACAAAUAUUUUCUCCUAGUCUGUAGCUUAUCUUUACAUCUUCUGCCCAGGAUCUUUUGUGAAGCAAAAAUUUAUGUUCACACAAAAACCUGUACCCAAAUGUUUGUAGCGGCUUAAUUCAUGAAAUGGCCCCAAACAGGAAACUGCCCGAUGUUUUUCGACAGGUAGGCACUUAAACAAAGUGUUCCAUUUUUUUGACUUUUUGUCAAGCCAGUGACAUCUGUUGCCUACCACCUGCUCAGAAGUCUGAGCAUUUCUGCCCCCUGCAUCAUGGUAUCGGAGGUGCCAGGGAAAACACAACACAGACAAGCAAUGGGUGAAACAAUGCUUUCCUCGCACAGAGACGAGACUUGGCAAAAGCUGCUUCCAUAGUGGGCAUCGGCACGCCCAUGGCCAGCGGGCUCCUCAUGGCAGUUGGUGCAGGGCCGUGGCCUGCAUGCACUUAUCUUGUGCUGCAUCAGGUGGACCCUGUCCCCUCCCUGCAGGUGACAGAGAUAGCAGUGGGCUUGGCCAGGUGCUGUAUGGCGCACACACCUAAGCAGAACAGAGGAGGGCACAUCGCAUCUGAAACAAGGAAAGAUAUCCACAUGAGGUGACAAGUCCAGCACAGGCUUUGUGGUACCUUUCCAUCUUGAUAAGGAAAUGUUCCAGGCCCAGUGCUCCUUCCUAUGCAGCCGAGUGUGGGGAUCAGAAGACUGCAAGCAGGAGACUGUCUUUCCCAACAUAUUUUGACUAAACCCAGUUUACCCGUGUUUCCUUUUAUGGAUUGUGCUUUUGUGUCAAGUCUAAGAAUUCCUAUGUUGUUUCUUUUUCUAAAAAUUUUGUACUUUUACAUUCCACACGAAGUCCAUGAUACAUUUUGAAUUAGUUUUUGUAUAAGGUAUAAGUCUUAGGUGGACGUUCGUGUUUUUGCCUAUGAAAAAGCAUUCUCUAUGCAUUUAAUGCUAUGCCUUUUCCUCUCAGCACUGCAUUAGCUGUAUCCCAAAAUUUUGAUAUGUUGUCUUUUUGUCUUAAUUCAGUUCAUUUUUUUUUUUAUUUCACUCAAGACUUCUUUGACUUGUGGGAUUAUUUUGUUUAGUUUCCAAGUGUUUGAAGAUCUUUCUGUUAUUGGACACUAGUUGGAUUCCAUUGUGGUCAGACUAUGCACUCUGUCUGAUUUUGAUUAUUUUAAAUUUGUUGAGAAUGUUUUAUGUCCUAGAUUAUAUGGCCUAUAUUGGCAUAUGUUUCAUGGAUAUUUGGAAAGAAUGUGUAUAAUGCCAUUGUUGCAUGGAAUGUUCUAUAAAUGUUAGUGAGACCCUAAUUGGAUUGAA